AAUUUAUCUGUACUUCUCGUAGCACUUCAGUGUGUUAUAUACAUUUAUUCUAAAAUCAGUGGCGUGGAUUCAAGACCGCCAGACUACGAACCGACUGGACCGUUCAUUGACGACGCGACUGAUGCAACAAGAGAUGUCAAAGAACAUAAAGAAUAUCUUCAAAGAGAGUCGUGCCCAUUUUGAAGAAAAAGUUCAACCGUCUUCCAGGCGUAUGCAGACGUCUGAAAAGGAGGAGGAUAACAAUUCUGUGUAACACAGAAAAGUUCUGUUCUGCAUUGACACACUCUCAGCAUGGACAAAUCUGCUCCUGCCCAAAAGGAUCGAAGUGCACUCAUUUCUUUUUAUGGAGUUUGUGAUCUGUUUUUACUAUCAUUACAAAACACAUUAUAUUCCAUCAUGGCAGAAUCACUUGACAAACAAACUUAGGCACACAAUUGCUUAUUCCCAUUUAUUCCUCAGUUCCGUAUCAAGGACAGGAAGUGUCACACAUCUUUCAUGAAAAUACCCUUUACAUUUUAGGUAGAUCAUUAAAAUUGUCUACGGCACAAAGCCUGACAAAAUUCACAUGGUUUCCUUCUUAAAUUGU